AUUGAACGCUGGCGGCAUGCUUUACACAUGCAAGUCGAACGGUAACAGGCCUUCGGGUGCUGACGAGUGGCGCACGGGUGAGUAAUGCAUCGGAACGUACCCAGAGGUGGGGGAUAACGCAGCGAAAGCUGUGCUAAUACCGCAUGUGAUCUGAGGAUGAAAGCGGGGGACCGAGCAGCAAUGUUUGGCCUCGCGCCUUUGGAGCGGCCGAUGUCGGAUUAGCUAGUUGGUGGGGUAAAGGCCUACCAAGGCGACGAUCCGUAGCUGGUCUGAGAGGACGACAAGCCACACUGGGACUGAGACACGGCCCAGACUCCUACGGGAGGCAGCAGUGGGGAAUUUUGGACAAUGGGCGCAAGCCUGAUCCAGCAAUGCCGCGUGCGGGAAGAAGGCCUUCGGGUUGUAAACCGCUUUUGGCAGGAACGAAACGGUGUCCGCUAAUACCGGGCGCUAAUGACGGUACCUGCAGAAUAAGCACCGGCUAACUACGUG
rnacentral:rRNA from 1 species